AAACAAACACUUCUGUUUCUGAACCAGAGUGGGUUCUCAGAGUCUUGGCUUUCUUUCUGCAGCCUGUCUGCCUCCUAAGCAGCUGAGAUUGUUUCCCCACUACAGAUGAGUGAUAAGCUGACUGCACCCUCACGGAUAAUUCUAUCAACUCCUGGGACCAUCGCAUAGAGGGUGCUUGAGACAUGCUGCACUGGACGAUGCACACACCCCAUCUCUCCAACAUGACUAGGCCACCAGGAUGCAUCACAGUCCUGACCCCAAUGCAGGAGACUGAAAGUCACCAAGGACUGAGACAUGCUGUCGAGCCACAAUCAGAAGAGAAACUGGAGUUGAAGAAGAGCCAGGUCUGGCCACACAGAGAAGUGAAAACCUCCAUUUAAUGGUCAGAGGCAAAGUACAAAGUUAGGCAUCAGAGAAGUGUUCCGUUUUGGUCACUAUUAUUUCUUAAGAAUCUUUCUGAACACUCCAGAACUAAAGGACUAGAAGUCCAGGGCCCUUGCUCUCAGUGUCUGAUUAGCUGCUGUCAUCUGCCUCGAAAGCUGCCCCAUGGUUUUUUCCAUCCUUGCUAGCAGCACAAACCAACUGGUUUAGCCUAACAUUGAUAAAACUACAGAAUCUCAGAUUUGGAAGGAUGCUUUUAAAGCAAAUAGCCAAGCUCCUAGCUAAUUUUCUAAUUUUGUUGCUACAAGAAUAAAGAAUUUAAUGUGGGUGUGGAGGGAGAGUUAUUUGAGUCCAUUUUUCUUCUGGUCUUUCCCCUUUUCCAAGUAUAUAGGCAAUCCUGCACUCAUUGCCUCAGGGAGGGGAGGCAAUUAGUCAGAAGAUAUAAAUAGCCAAUUGGCACUUUUUGUCUCUGUGUUUUAAAAGAGGGAACUUAGAAUUUUGGGGAUGAUGUCAAGAUCAAAUGUGUGGGAGAAACAGAGGUCAAAGAGCAUUGACUUCCUCCACCCACCACCUAGA
rnacentral:lncRNA from 1 species